GAGGCUGUAGCUCAGUGGUAGAGCUCUUGCCUAGUAUGUAUGAGGCACUGGGUUCGAUUCUCAGCACCGCA
rnacentral:tRNA from 1 species